rnacentral:misc_RNA from 1 species
UGCAGAAUGCUUUCAAAUUCACCCGACCCGGUACGACCGUCACCCUACGCAGCAGCGCGACCCCCGACCGUGUGCUGAUCGAAGUCGAGGACGAAUGCGGCGGGCUGCCGGACGGCAACGUCAACGCCUUGUUCCAGCCGUUUGAGCAACGUGGUGUAGACCGAACGGGGUUAGGUCUCGGUCUCACGAUCAGCCGCUGGGGCGCCGAGGCCAACAACGGUCGAAUCUGCGCGCGCGAUCUGCCGGGCCACGGCUGCAUCUUUAUCAUCGACCUGCCGCGGGCGACGGUCUCGCUGUCGGCCACCUGCGUCACCCAGGAUGUCGCACACGUGGGGUGAUGAAGCUUGCGGCGCCGGUCGUCGCUUCGUGUCAUGAUGACCAGGCGGGUCUCGGUGCUGGGCCGAACCGAUCGGAAGAAACUGGCGGUUGGUCUAGAGUGGCUUCCACUCCGCCCGCAACGCGACGUCCAAUGAGCAAGUCCAAACGCGCACAGUCGCGCGAAGUGACGCCGGCCGUCAAUUGGACCGGCGUUCAUGCACAACGCGCCGAAUACGCACCCGGAACGACUAUUUUCGGGCAAGGCGAUCCGGCACCGAGCAUCAUGUACGUCGAGAAGGGCGCCGUGCGGCUGUCAGUCCUUUCUCACUCCGGAAAAGAAGCAAUCGUCGCAGUGUUGGAUCCCGGUCACUUCUUUGGCGAGGGCUGCUUGGCAGGGCAGACUCAAAGGAUGGCGACGGCGACGGCGAUGGAUGCCUGCAUCGUUUUGAUGGUUGAGAAGCCGGAGAUGGCGCAACAACUGCGGGCCCGGCCCGAUUUCGCCGAGCGAUUCCUGAGCCACAUGCUGACGCGGAACAUCCGCAUCGAAGAGGAUCUCGUCGAUCAACUCUUCAACUCCACAGAGAAGCGCUUAGCGCGCACGCUCUUGCUGCUGGCACGAUACGGUGAACCACAGGUCUCUCACCGCGCCCUCC